GACGAACGCUGGCGGCGUGCUUAACACAUGCAAGUCGAACGGUGAAGCGCCUUCCUUUUUGGUGGGUGUGGAUGAGUGGCGAACGGGUGAGUAACACGUGAGUAACCUGCCCCCUUCUUCUGGAUAACCGCAUGAAAGUGUGGCUAAUACGGGAUAUUCUGGGUCUGUCGCAUGAUGGGUCUGGGAAAGAUAUUGUUUCGGUGGGGGAUGGGCUCGCGGCCUAUCAGCUUGUUGGUGGGGUGAUGGCCUACCAAGGCGGUGACGGGUAGCCGGCCUGAGAGGGGGGCGGGUAACGUGGGGGAGGGGCCACGGGCCGAGCUCGUAGGGGAGGGAGGGGGGGGGAAUAUUGAGAAGGGGGGGAAAGCCUGAGGCGGCGGACCCGGGGGGGGGAAGGGGGCUUUGGGGUGUGGAGCCUUUUUGGCUGGUAAAGGGGGCCGGCCUGGUUUGAGGGGGGGUUGAGGGUAGGGGGAAAAGAAGCCGCGGCAAACUAGGG
rnacentral:rRNA from 1 species